CUCAGAUUGAACGCUGGCGGCAGGCCUAACACAUGCAAGUCGAGCGGAAACGACAUUAACAAUCCUUCGGGUGCGUUAAUGGGCGUCGAGCGGCGGACGGGUGAGUAAUGCCUGGGAAAUUGCCUUGAUGUGGGGGAUAACCAUUGGAAACGAUGGCUAAUACCGCAUAAUGCCUACGGGCCAAAGAGGGGGAUCUUCGGACCUCUCGCGUCAAGAUAUGCCUAGGUGGGAUUAGCUAGUUGGUGAGGUAAUGGCUCACCAAGGCGACGAUCCCUAGCUGGUCUGAGAGGAUGAUCAGCCACACUGGAACUGAGACACGGUCCAGACUCCUACGGGAGGCAGCAGUGGGGAAUAUUGCACAAUGGGCGAAAGCCUGAUGCAGCCAUGCCGCGUGUAUGAAGUAACGGCCUUCGGGUUAGUAAACGUACUUUCAGUUGUGAGGUAAGGUGUGUAGUAAUAGCUGCGCAUCGUUGACGUUAGCAACAA
rnacentral:rRNA from 1 species